rnacentral:rRNA from 1 species
GACGAACGCUGGCGGCGUGCUUAACACAUGCAAGUCGAACGAAAAGAGGGAAAGAGCUUGCUCUUUCCGGAAUUGAGUGGCAAACGGGUGAGUAACACGUAAACAACCUGCCUUCAGGAUGGGGACAACAGACGGAAACGACUGCUAAUACCGAAUAAGUUCCAAGAGCCGCAUGGCCCAUGGAAGAAAAGGUGGCCUCUACCUGUAAGCUAUCGCCUGAAGAGGGGUUUGCGGCUGAUUAGCUGGUUGGAGGGGUAACGGCCCACCAAGGCGACGAUCAGUAGCCGGUCUGAGAGGAUGAACGGCCACACUGGAACUGAGACACGGUCCAGACUCCUACGGGAGGCAGCAGUGGGGAAUCUUCCGCAAUGGGCGAAAGCCUGACGGAGCAACGCCGCGUGAGUGAUGACGGCCUUCGGGUUGUAAAACUCUGUGAUCCGGGACGAAAAGGCAGAGUGCGAAGAACAAACUGCAUUGACGGUACCGGAAAAGCAAGCCACGGCUAACUACGUG